rnacentral:tRNA from 1 species
AAAUUUAGGUUAACUAAACCAAGAGCCUUCAAAGCCCUUAACAGAAGUUAAAGUCUUCUAAUCUCUG